AUUGAACGCUGGCGGCAGGCCUAACACAUGCAAGUCGAACGGUAACAGAAAGAGGCUUGCUUCUUUCCGGAGGCGAGGCGGGGGCGGGUGUGGAGUACAGCAGACUGUAUGAUGUCGGGGGGGAUCUCGUGGAAAAGGUAGCGAAUACAGCGUAACGUAGCUAGAGCAAAAAGCAGGGGCUCUUCGCACCUUGCCAGCUUAUAUGCGCAGAUGUCGGAUUAGCUAGGUGGGGGGGUAAAGGCACACCAAGGCGACGAUCCGUAGCUGGUCUGAGAGGAUGAUCAGCCACACUGGAACUGAGACACGGUCCAGACUCCUACGGGAGGCAGCAGUGGGGAAUAUUGGACAAUGGGCGCAAGCCUGAUCCAGCCAUACCGCGUGGGUGAAGAAGGCCUUCGGGUUGUAAAGCCCUUUUGUUGGGAAAGAAAAGCAGCAGGUUAAUACCCCGCUGUUCUGACGUUACCCAAAGAAUAAGCACCGGCUAACUUCGUG
rnacentral:rRNA from 1 species